GAUGAACGCUGGCGGCGUGCUUAACACAUGCAAGUCGAACGGUGAAGGCGGAGCUUGCUCUGCUGGAUCAGUGGCGAACGGGUGAGUAACACGUGAGCAAUCUGCCCCUGACUCUGGGAUAAGCGCUGGAAACGGCGUCUAAUACUGGAUACGAGCUGCGAAGGCAUCUUCAGCAGCUGGAAAGAAUUUCGGUCAGGGAUGAGCUCGCGGCCUAUCAGCUUGUUGGUGAGGUAAUGGCUCACCAAGGCGUCGACGGGUAGCCGGCCUGAGAGGGUGACCGGCCAAACUGGGACUGAGACACGGCCCAGACUCCUACGGGAGGCAGCAGUGGGGAAUAUUGCACAAUGGGCGAAAGCCUGAUGCAGCAACGCCGCGUGAGGGACGACGGCCUUCGGGUUGUAAACCUCUUUUAGCAGGGAAGAAGCGAAAGUGACGGGACCUGCAGAAAAAGCGCCGGCUAACUACG
rnacentral:rRNA from 1 species